rnacentral:rRNA from 1 species
UGGGGAAUAUUGGACAAUGGGCGCAAGCCUGAUCCAGCAAUGCCGCGUGUGUGAAGAAGGCCUUCGGGUUGUAAAGCACUUUUAUCAGGAGCGAAACGCUGUCGGCUAAUACCCGGCGGAACUGACGGUACCUGAGGAAUAAGCACCGGCUAACUUCGUGCCAGCAGCCGCGGUAAUACGAAGGGUGCAAGCGUUAAUCGGAAUUACUGGGCGUAAAGCGUGCGUAGGCGGUUUCUUAAGUCUGCUGUGAAAUCCCCGGGCUCAACCUGGGAAUGGCAGUGGAUACUGGGAGGCUAGAGUGUGUCAGAGGGUGGUGGAAUUCCCGGUGUAGCGGUGAAAUGCGUAGAGAUCGGGAGGAACAUCAGUGGCGAAGGCGGCCACCUGGGACAACACUGACGCUGAGGCACGAAAGCGUGGGGAGCAAACAGGAUUAGAUACCCUGGUAGUCCACGCCCUAAAAGCGAUGCGAACUGGAUGUUGGUCUCAACUCGGAGAUCAGUGUCGAAGCUAACGCGUUAAGUUCGCCGCCUGGGGAGUACGGUCGCAAGACUGAAACUCAAAGGAAUUGACGGGGUCAUAGCUGUUUCCUG